rnacentral:tRNA from 1 species
UGGCUAAGUAGUUAAAGUGCUUGGCUGCUAACCGAGAGGUUGGCGGUUUGAAUCCACU